rnacentral:rasiRNA from 1 species
AAGACAAGUAUACCGUGGCACACCA